rnacentral:lncRNA from 1 species
AGGGAUUUACUUGGUUGGUUUCCAUAGCUUGAUAGACAUUUUUAUCCAUACGGGAAUGGAGCGUCCCUUUUUUGUCUUUUCUGACUUGACAUCUGCCAAGGGAACAUACUUAGGAACAUAUUUAGAUGAAAAAGACUCCUCCAUCCUGAAAUCACUGAGUUCUAAUGGCCGGCCUGCAGCCCCUUUGAUUGGUCUGCGGCAACUAGCACUGU